GGGGACUAUUCUUGAUUAUCUGAGUCUUAAAUCCAAUGACAAGUGCCCUUAUAACAGGAAGGUAGAGGGCAAUAUGAGAUAGAUAGCAGAGAAGAAAACAGAGAAAAGAGGAAAACAUCAUUUACCAAAUCAAUGAGUGGAGUGAUGUGAUUAUAACCAAAGAAGACAGAAAUGCUAGUGGCCAACACUGGAAGAGAUGAAAUAGAGAGUAUCUGUAGUUAGGUAGAAGGUGGGCAAAAAUGGUGGAAGGAACACCCCAAGGAAGAGUCCGAAGUCUUUGAAGGGGAAUGGUAGAGACAUGGGCUGGAGGCAAGGACAGUGAUAAGUAAGUUACAUAUUGGAAACCUGGGAGCAGAACACCCUGACCUUGCGGCCUCCGACACCUUGGGCCUGAGAAAUCAAAAGCCAAAGGCGUGGACCAAGUGGUCUCUUGUUCCACCUCUGCCUCAGGGUAAUGUCUAGAAUCAUUAUGAUGCAUUUGCAUUGUGGGCACAACCUCCAUGAACAAAGCGUGCCAUGAUGAUUCCAGGACUAAUCUUGUAGGGUCAAAGACUCCCCACUCCCAACCUGUGGGAGGAGUUCCCCAAAUUACUGGAAGCAGCCUCUCCCACUCCACCCGUAACACUGCGGGGCUACCAGAGAGAAUGAAGCCCUACUGACACAUUGUUUUAAGACUUCUGGCCUCCAAAACUGUGAGGAAAUGAAUUUCUCUUGUCUUAAGCCACUGAUUUGUUGUGAUAGCUUGUCAUGGCAGCCACAGGCUUUGGAUACUGGGAAGUAGGGCACUGCUAUAACAAAUACCUAAAAAUGUGGAUGUGGUUUUGGACUCCGAUUAUGAGUAAAGGCUGGAAGAACUUGGAGAAGCACACCUGGAUUGCUUUUGAAAAGACUGUUGGCAGAUAAAAGGAUGCUAAAGUUCAUUCUGGCAAAAGUUAGAUGGAAUUACAGAGCAUGGUAGAGACAGUGUGUAAUGUUUUAGAGAAUAAAUGUAUUUUCAUAAUCGGAAUAUUGAUGGACAUCAAGUGUUAAAUGCACUGCAGGGAGGGGCUCAGAAGGAAAGGAGAAACACAUAAUUGGAAACUGGAGGAAAGACAAGCCUGGUUAUCUCAUGUGUAGAAACUUGACUGAAUUGUGUUUUCCCGUUGGAUGGAAAGAACAACUUUUAAGUGAUACCCUGGGGAGAUUUCCACAGUGUUGAAGAUGCAUCUUGAUACACUUACCUAUUUUGCUGUUCACAGUAAAAUGUGAGAGAAGAAGAUAAACUGAGGAAGGAACUGUUCAAAAAGCAAUAGCCUUGGAUGAUGGUAGAGGUUUUCAGCCUGUCCAAAUUGCAAAGGAAGCUAAAAUUAGGAAAUUCACUAGCAUGAAAGUGCACUCUGGAGGGAGAUCUGAGAGUGGGGCUGGACAACCUUAUGUGGAAAGUUUAUAAAUUAUGGAUCAAUUCAAAGACUUUAGCGAAAGCCAGGAGUGAAGAUGAGAUUAUCCAGGAAUGAUCUGAGGCGAGCCCCUCUUGUCCACUGGUCUGAUUAUUGGCAGAUACACAGGAGAGCCACAAAGUUGUUGAGAAUGUUACAUCAGCAGGGAUCCCACCAGUGUGGACUGGAUGGAACAAGAUAGGGGGAUAUGGCACAAAGCUGGUGGGCUUCCAAAAUCCUACAGGCAAGCAACAAGAGUAUAUACUCAGCUGCAAAGAUGUGUCUUCCUUCGAGGAAAUGGAAGAAUGACUCUGAGGCAGAAACAGAUGGAUCAUCGGACCCAAAAGGUGGAGACACAAGUGCAGACAGCGUAGCAGUAAGUCACAAAUGAUUAUGCUCAGACCUUGAAACCUAAUGGAACUUGUCUUGCUAGAUUUAAAACUUGCUUGGGACUGGUGAACCUUUUAGUACUUAGAAUUUCUGCCUUUUGGAACGAGAAUGUGUGUCCCAUGCUAGUCCCCCCACUGUAUUUUGGAAGCAAAUAAUUUGUUUUCUAGUUUGACAGGUCCACAAGUGGAGAACACUUCUGCCUCAGGAUAUAUCAUACUCAGAGUCUUAUUUAUACCUGAUUUAGGAGUUAAAUAAGAUUUUGAUUUUUAACCUCAGGAUAUGUAGAGGAUAUUAUGAACUUAGAGUUUGUGUUGUAGUGGGUUGAGGCUUCUGGGAAUUUGUAGAUGUUCUAGGUGCAUUUUGUGUAUGGGAUACACGUGAAUUUUGUGGGGUUCUCUGUGGUGGCUCCCAUCUCCACAUCUUAAAUCCUGGAAACUGUAAACGUUAACUUAUUUUGGAAAAGAGUCUUUGCAGAUGUAAUUAUAAUACGGAUUUUGCAAUAAAGUGAUAAUCCUGGAUUAUCUGGAUAGGACCUAAACAAAAAAGCAAGUGUCAUUUUAAAGGAAAGGCACAGGAACCUGAGCCAGAUAGAAGAGAAAAAGAGAGGGAGAAGAGGAGAAGGCAGUGUGGCCACUGAGGCAGAGAUUGGAGUGAUGUGUGGCCAUAUUCCAAGGAAGUAAAUGGCCAUUAGAAGCUGGAAGAGAAAACAAAUGGAAUUUGUCCACAGUGUCUGUAGGCAGUGAGACCCUGUAAACACAUUGAUUUUGGACUUAGACCCUCCAAAAUAUUUAGAGAAUAAAUUGAUUUUGUUUUAAACUACCAAGUUAGUGAUAAUUUAUUAUGGCAGCAACAGGAAACUAAUCCUCUCUAAUAAAACCUUUGCAAUUUAGUCUUAUAUUGAGUUCUCUUUCUGUGAGGGUCUGUGCUAACAUAACUGAGAUAGAAUAUUUUUGAUUAUCGGGAGCUGAGAAUCAGUAUUUUUAUUGUGGGUAUACUAAAUAGAAGAUGCCCCCAGCACAUUAAAGUGGGAAUGGGAUGUAAGCAGUUUGAUACAUGGGUCUGAAGAUCUGUGGAGAUGCCAAUCCUGGGAAAAUAAAUGUAGGGGACAUGGAUACAAAGAUGAUAUUUAAAGAUAGGGGCUGUUUGAGGUAUCCUACUUCAAACGGUGUUAAUGAGAAGUGUUAAGCUGGCCUGAAGUACUCCAGACUUCCACAUAUGAGGAGAAUGAGUUGGGGAAGGAGACUAAGAAGGGAAAGGUAAUGAGGUUAUGUGGCUUGUGCUCCAGAAAGCACCCAACUCCCUUCCAGUCUUCAACAUGAGGUUGAAUUCCCUCAUCCCCUAUCUUAGAUUCAUUUCCUUCCUUCCUUUCUUCUUUUUCUUCUUUAUUUUUUCUUUUUCUUUUUCUUUUUUUUUUUUUUUUUUUUUUUUUUUUGAGAGAGAGAGAGAGCAUGCAGGAGUGGGUGGGGGAGAGGGGGCAAUGGAGAAAGGGAGAUGACAGAGAAUUUGAUGCAGGGCUCGACCUCACAACCCUGAGAUCAUGACCUGAUCCAUAAUCAAGAGUUGGACAGUUAACCAACUGAGCCACUGGGGCACCCCAAUCUCGCUUCACUUCUGUCCUCCACUUUCUACUGGAUUCACCUUCACAGAAGUUAAGAUUGGUUUGUAUUGAUGGUGAUUGGUUUUUACAUUUUUGUAGAGUUUCUUUAAACUGAAACGUAUAUUGCUAUUGUUCUUUACACCCCCCCCCCC
rnacentral:lncRNA from 1 species